rnacentral:sRNA from 1 species
GCUGGGUGUGGUGGUGCAUGCCUGUAAUCCCAACAGUUUGGGAGGCUGAGGCAGGAGGAUCACAAGUUCAAAGCCAGCCUCAGCAAUUUAGAGAGGCCCUAAACAACUUAGUGCAAUCCUGUCUCAA